GAUGAACGCUGGCGGCGUGCUUAACACAUGCAAGUCGAACGGAAAGGCCCUGCUUUUGUGGCGUGCUCGAGUGGCGAACGGGUGAGUAACACGUGAGUAACCUGUCCUUGACUUUGGGAUAUCUUCACGAAACUGGGGCUAAUACCGGAUAGGAGCUCCUGCUCCAUGGUGGGGGUUGGAAAGUUUCGGCGGUUGGGGAUGGACUCGCGGCUUAUCAGCUUGUUGGUGGGGUAGUGGCUUACCAAGGCUUUGACGGUUAGCCGGCCUGAGAGGGUGACCGGCCACAUUGGGACUGAGAUACGGCCCAGACUCCUACGGGAGGCAGCAGUGGGGAAUAUUGCACAAUGGGCGGAAGCCUGAUGCAGCAACGCCGCGUGCGGGAUGACGGCCUUCGGGUUGUAAACCGCUUUCGCCUGUGACGAAGCGUGAGUGACGGUAAUGGGUAAAGAAGCACCGGCUAACUACGUG
rnacentral:rRNA from 1 species